rnacentral:rRNA from 1 species
GUGGGGAAUCUUGCGCAAUGGGCGAAAGCCUGACGCAGCAACGCCGCGUGCGGGAUGACGGCCUUCGUGGUUGUAAACCGCUUUCAGCAGGGACGAAAAUGACGGUACCUGCAGAAGAAGCCCCGGCUAACUACGUGCCAGCAGCCGCGGUAAUACGUAGGGGGCAAGCGUUGUCCGGAUUCAUUGGGCGUAAAGAGCUCGUAGGCGGUUCAGUAAGUCGGGUGUGAAAGCUCCGAGCUCAACUCGGAGAGGCCACCCGAUACUGCUGUGACUUGAGUCCAGUAGAGGAGCGUGGAACUCCUGGUGUAGCGGUGGAAUGCGCAGAUAUCAGGAAGAACACCUGCAGCGAAGGCGGCGCUCUGGGCUGGAACUGACGCUGAGGAGCGAAAGCGUGGGUAGCAAACAGGAUUAGAAACCCCAGUAGUCC